UUUCCGUAGGUGAACCUGCGGAAGGAUCAUUCAUAAUAAGUGUUUUAUGGCACUUUUUUAAAUCCAUAUCCACCUUGUGUGCAAUGUCAGGGUUGGUCUCUUUUGAUCAGCCCCAAACAUCAACUGUUAUCUCAACUCUUUGUCUGAAGAAUAUUAUGAAUAAAACAAUUCAAAAUACAACUUUCAACAACGGAUCUCUUGGCUCUC
rnacentral:misc_RNA from 1 species